GGGGGCGUGGUGUAGCGGUUAGCAUGUCGGCCUGUCAAGCCGGAGGUCGCGGGUUCAAAUCCCGUCGCUCCCG
rnacentral:tRNA from 1 species